AAUGUGGUUCAGCUCUAUUUGAUCUUUUGGAACUGGUUUGGUCUUGAGGCAAUGAAGCAUUGUGGCUAUUUAGGAUCUUUGGGUUGGUUCCCAGUUCCUGGUCCAUGCUCUGUUACUUGUCCUCUUUGCUGACAAGUCGCUGAUCGUUCUCUGUCUACGAUAUGGUCUUGUUGCUCGACAUGUGGUCUUAUUGGUGGUUUGUUAAGUGUGAAGCUCCAAUGCUGUGAAGUAUGCUGUCCUUUCGGUUUAAACCGACGGGUUCUCCGAAUAUCUUAAUAAGGGGUUGUAGCUUUAGAUCAAUCGCGUUCGGUCUUAGAAUAGUUGAUCGUCAACGUCUUCUUUGUUGACUGCUCGAGUUGAAGAUUCGUCUUCUUAUGCUUCAUUUAGAUGAAGAUUGUUCUUUAGAGGCGUUGGCUCGUAGUUCUUUAUCGGAACUCGUUGUGGAGUUCUUAUCUCAUCUCAAAUAAUUUGGACCUUCUAUGCUUUCACGUUCAUUAUGCCUUCUGUUAUCGGUCGGCUUCACAUUUUUAUCCAUGUGUUCAUUGAGAUCUUAUUGGCCGCUUCAUUUAUCGGUUUAUGUUUAGUUUUGUUUUUCUUUGUUGUUUCUAGCUUUGAUUCCGAGGAGUUAUGUUUACUUUGUCGACUUAUGGCUCUGAAAAGGCUUUGUUAUUUUAUCAAGCUGGUUUCUGGAAAUCUUUGACAAAAGAGUCUCAUUUGUAUUGGUAGAGUUCAAAUGAAGCGUGGUGCUUCAUGCAUGCUAAGUUGCUAACAGAUUCUUAAAAACUAUAUAUCGUUUCAAACUUUCAAUCGGGCAAGCCACCAGCUUUUAGUA
rnacentral:lncRNA from 1 species